UAGGGAAUCUUCCACAAUGGACGAAAGUCUGAUGGAGCAACGCCGCGUGAGUGAAGAAGGGUUUCGGCUCGUAAAACUCUGUUGUUAAAGAAGAACAUAUCUGAGAGUAACUGUUCAGGUAUUGACGGUAUUUAACCAGAAAGCCACGGCUAACUACGUGCCNG
rnacentral:rRNA from 1 species